AAUCAUAUGUUUACCAUACGUGAAACAUAUGAUUUUAUCGUCAUAUAGUGAACAUAUGUUUGAAACAUAUGUUGAACCUACUGCAAACUUCAAACGUGAUUAACACAAGUUGAAUAAUUCAUGUGUUUAACAUAUAUUCAACAUAUGAUAAACAUGAAAUUUUGAACAUAUGAUUAACUUAAGAUCAAAAGGGGGUGGGGGGUCUAUAUUCUGUACAGAGUUUUGUUGUUAGAAUAUCCCCACUCCUCAAAAUCGCUGCUACUGGCCAAGGAAUUGUUUUACAAAAGAACUUACAACUAAGACCAAAAAUGUUACAGAGUUUUAAAAACUCGUCAACUUAAUUCUUAAGAUUACAUUUAUAAAUGAAAAUUUACAUAACUUAAUUCUUCUUCAUGUUUUGAAAAUUCACAAGAUUUUGACACAAUCUAAGCACACAGGUUUUAUAGUAUAAUAGAAACUCUUUGGACUUUCUAGUAGUAACUUCUAUUAUAUGACAUAGUCGUUUUCUAUAAUAUAUAUAUAUAUACCAAAUAUGACGUAAAAUUAUUGUGUAUUACGUUUCUCGCUCCCGAAAAAAGGCUUGCAAAGUCCGUGCAAUUAAAGCAUCGCUGUAACUAAGAAGAUUCAUAGCACUUGCGUGUACUGACAGACAAUCGAUCAUGUCAAGGAGAGCGGAGAAAGACUUCCUAGCAAUGAUAAAGAAGUUCCGAACAAGCUGCUCGUGGUUGUGAAGAUGCAACUGUUUGCCCAAAACAUCACUAGAUCUACAGGACAAAGUCGUGGAAGAUUUACAACAAUGUGAAUAAGUAGACAGCAAGAAAAUUUAUACAGAGGGAUUUGCAAUCAAGCAGCCACUACCACGGGGCGUGGAUUAAAGUUACUCACAAAAUAUUCCUCCCAACAACAGCUACUGACAGAAAAAGAACAUGCUGGUGCAGCACACACUGAAUAUCAACUAUUUAUUCAGGGACAUAAAUAAAUGCUGGUUCCUUCCGAUACGAUUUGUUUUCUUGUUUUCUGGAGAGGUACUUCG